GUAAAUCGCUGCUUCCUUCAGCCAAUGAGCGUUCGUGCUUUACGGUGUCAUGUUUGCAUCCACCGACAACGAUCCCUCCGCAAAACCUUUUCGACGCAAUAACUUUUUUUCUGAAAGUACAUUUGUAAGAAAUCUUGGAUAUAACGGAUUCCAAAAUUCUUUAAGUUUUCGUUAAGAACGUUCGAAUGGUAAAAUGAAAGAUGGUUGUUUCAAGAAAUAGGGAUAGACGUAGUGAACUACACGCAUAUGUUUCGAUAUUACUCCGCGUGAAAGUAGUUCCUGGACACUUUAUUUUUAUCAAUUUUUCGAAAUUUACGACUCUAAAUAGAUUUCUUUCGAUUUGAUUAAAGUAUCAAAAGAUAUGUAUUUUAAUUUUUUCAAAAAUUAACAUUUAUUUUCAAUCGUCGGUUAUUCGUACUAUCGAUAGUAUUAAUAGGAAAUUUUAAGGUGGUUGUAUACAGCUGAGAGACGCAACCACCUGAUUUUUGCAUGGGGCGCGACGUCGCCUGCAAAGGCGGAACCAUUUAAAUUUUGACAUUCGCCGGAUCCACACGUGUACGCCAACCGUCAUCUGUCAGUAUAGCCGGUAGCAGCUUGUUUCAAACCACGUAUCUGUCGAAUCUUCAAAUAUAUUUUUAAGCCUUCCAUUUUGAAGGUUUAUACCACAUAAACGACACAAUAACAUACUUGUGGCUGAUCAGUCGCCACAUACUCUAAGAAAU